GACGAACGCUGGCGGCGUGCUUAACACAUGCAAGUCGAACGGUAAGGCCCUUCGGGGUACACGAGUGGCGAACGGGUGAGUAACACGUGGGUGAUCUGCCCUGCACUUCGGGAUAAGUCUGAGAAACUGGGUCUAAUACCGGAUCGGACUCCUGGCGUCAUGGUUGGGGGUGGAAAGCUUUUUCGGGGUGGGAUGGGCCCGCGGCCUAUCCGCUUGUGUGGGGGGUAAUGGCCUACCAAGGCGACGACGGGGAGCCGGCCUGAGAGGGUGACCGGUCACAAUGGGACUGAGAUACGGCCCAGACUCCUACGGGAGGCAGCAGUGGGGAAUAUUGCACAAUGGGCGCAAGCCUGAUGCAGCGACGCCGCGUGAGGGAUGACGGCCUUCGGGUUGUAAACCUCUUUCAGCUAUGACGAAGCGCAAGUGACGGUAGUAGCAGAAGAAGGACCGGCCAACUACGUGCCAGCCGCCGCAGUAA
rnacentral:rRNA from 1 species